CAAACUAGAGCUUGAUUUUAAGCAUUUUACUUACACUAAAAAGAUAAUUUUUAAUUUGGUUUGA
rnacentral:tRNA from 1 species